GAACGCAUAUUGCGCUCUUUGGUAUUCCGAAGAGCAUGCUUGUUUGAGUAUCAGUAAUAAACCUCAACCAAAAUAUUAUUUUUUGGAUGGAUUUGAGCAAUCUCAAUAUCAUUUUUUUUUUAAAAAUGAGUGCGAGUUGCUUUAAAUUUUGGUUUAGUCAAUUUGAAAUACAAUGGACUUGCUAAACAUAUCUUAAUUAAUCUUUCUAAGAUUAUUAUUUCUGUGAAGCUUGAUUAUUGGUUAAUAUUUCUUAUCAGGCUAACUGAUGCAGUAACUACGAAAGAUGUCAAAAGUCUUUUGUUAACUCGAUCUCAAAUCAAGUAAGACUACCCGCUGAACUUAAG
rnacentral:misc_RNA from 1 species